rnacentral:rRNA from 1 species
UACGAAGGGGGCUAGCGUUGUUCGGAAUUACUGGGCGUAAAGCGCACGUAGGCGGAUAUUUAAGUCAGAGGUGAAAUCCCGGAGCUCCACUUCGGAACUGCCUUUGAUACUGGGUAUCUUGAGUAUGGAAGAGGUAAGUGGAAUUGCGAGUGUAGAGGUGAAAUUCGUAGAUAUUCGCAGGAACACCAGUGGCGAAGGCGGCUUACUGGUCCAUUACUGACGCUGAGGUGCGAAAGCGUGGGGAGCAAACAGG